rnacentral:rRNA from 1 species
CCUACGGGGGGCAGCAGUGGGGAAUAUUGCACAAUGGGCGCAAGCCUGAUGCAGCCAUGCCGCGUGUGUGAAGAAGGCCUUCGGGUUGUAAAGCACUUUCAGCGGGGAGGAAGGCGGUGAGGUUAAUAACCUCAUCGAUUGACGUUACCCGCAGAAGAAGCACCGGCUAACUCCGUGCCAGCAGCCGCGGUAAUACGGAGGGUGCAAGCGUUAAUCGGAAUUACUGGGCGUAAAGCGCACGCAGGCGGUCUGUCAAGUCAGAUGUGAAAUCCCCGGGCUCAACCUGGGAACUGCAUUCGAAACUGGCAGGCUAGAGUCUUGUAGAGGGGGGUAGAAUUCCAGGUGUAGCGGUGAAAUGCGUAGAGAUCUGGAGGAAUACCGGUGGCGAAGGCGGCCCCCUGGACAAAGACUGACGCUCAGGUGCGAAAGCGUGGGGAGCAAACAGGAUUAGAUACCCGAGUAGUC